UACGUAGGGGGCUAGCGUUGUCCGGAAUCAUUGGGCGUAAAGAGCGUGUAGGCGGCCAGGUAGGUCUGCUGUGAAAACUCGAGGCUUAACCUCGAGACGUCGGCGGAAACCAUCUGGCUAGAGUCCGGAAGAGGAGAGUGGAAUUCCUGGUGUAGCGGUGAAAUGCGCAGAUAUCAGGAAGAACACCCGUGGCGAAGGCGGCUCUCUGGGACGGUACUGACGCUGAGACGCGAAAGCGUGGGGAGCGAACAGG
rnacentral:rRNA from 1 species